rnacentral:rRNA from 1 species
UACGAAGGGUGCAAGCGUUAAUCGGAAUUACUGGGCGUAAAGGGUGCGUAGGCGGUUGUUUAAGUCUGUCGUGAAAUCCCCGGGCUCAACCUGGGAAUGGCGAUGGAUACUGGGCAGCUAGAGUGUGUCAGAGGAUGGUGGAAUUCCCGGUGUAGCGGUGAAAUGCGUAGAGAUCGGGAGGAACAUCAGUGACGAAGGCGGCCAUCUGGGACAACACUGACGCUGAAGCACGAAAGCGUGGGGAGCAAACAGG